UACGAAGGGGACUAGCGUUGUUCGGAAUUACUGGGCGUAAAGCGCACGUAGGCGGCUUGGUAUGUCGGGUGUGAAAUCCCCGGGCUCAACCUGGGAACUGCAUCCGAAACUGCCUUGCUAGAGUAUGGGAGAGGGAAGUGGAAUUUCCGGUGUAGCGGUGAAAUGCGUAGAUAUCGGAAGGAACAUCAGUGGCGAAGGCGACUUCCUGGACCAAUACUGACGCUCAGGUGCGAAAGCGUGGGGAGCAAACAGGG
rnacentral:rRNA from 1 species